rnacentral:rRNA from 1 species
UACGGAGGGUGCAAGCGUUAUCCGGAUUCACUGGGUUUAAAGGGUGCGUAGGCGGGCAGGUAAGUCCGUGGUGAAAUCUCUGAGCUUAACUCAGAAACUGCCAUGGAUACUAUUUGUCUUAGAAUAUGUGGAGUAAGCGGAAUAUGUCAUGUAGCGGUGAAAUGCUUAGAUAUGACAUAGAACACCAAUUGCGAAGGCAGCUUACUACAUAGUUAUUGACACUGAGGCACGAAAGCGUGGGGAUCAAACAGG